UACGUAGGGGGCAAGCGUUAUCCGGAUUUACUGGGUGUAAAGGGAGCGCAGGCGGUAUGGCAAGUCAGAUGUGAAAACCCAGGGCUCAACCCUGGGACUGCAUUUGAAACUGCCAUACUGGAGUGCCGGAGAGGUAAGUGGAAUUCCUAGUGUAGCGGUGAAAUGCGUAGAUAUUAGGAGGAACACCAGUGGCGAAGGCGGCUUACUGGACGGUAACUGACGCUGAGGCUCGAAAGCGUGGGGAGC
rnacentral:rRNA from 1 species